rnacentral:rRNA from 1 species
UACGGAGGGUGCAAGCAUUAAUCGGAUUCAUUGGGCGUAAAGGGUGCGUAGGCGGCGCGGUAAGUCGGGUGUGAAAUCUUGGAGCUUAACUCCGAAACUGCAUUCGAUACUGCCGUGCUUGAGGACUGGAGAGGAGACUGGAAUUUACGGUGUAGCGGUGAAAUGCGUAGAUAUCGAGAGGAACACCAAUGGCGAAGGCAGCUUCUUGGUCCAUACCUGACGUUGAGGCACGAAAGCGUGGGGAGCAAACAGG